UUAAGCGACUAAGCGUACACGGUGGAUGCCCUGGCAGUCAGAGGCGAUGAAGGGCGUGCUAAUCUGCGAUAAGCGCCGGUAAGGUGAUAUGAACCGUUAUAACCGGCGAUACCCGAAUGGGGAAACCCAGUGUGACUCGUCACACUAUCAUUAACUGAAUCCAUAGGUUAAUGAGGCGAACCGGGGGAACUGAAACAUCUAAGUACCCCGAGGAAAAGAAAUCAACCGAGAUUCCCCCAGUAGCGGCGAGCGAACGGGGAGGAGCCCAGAGCCUGAAUCAGCAUGUGUGUUAGUGGAAGCGUCUGGAAAGGCGCGCGAUACAGGGUGACAGCCCCGUACACAAAAGCGCAUGUGCUGUGAGCUCGAUGAGUAGGGCGGGACACGUGGUAUCCUGUCUGAAUAUGGGGGGACCAUCCUCCAAGGCUAAAUACUCCUGACUGACCGAUAGUGAACCAGUACCGUGAGGGAAAGGCGAAAAGAACCCCGGCGAGGGGAGUGAAAAAGAACCUGAAACCGUGUACGUACAAGCAGUGGGAGCACCCUUUGGGGUGUGACUGCGUACCUUUUGUAUAAUGGGUCAGCGACUUAUAUUCUGUAGCAAGGUUAACCGUAUAGGGGAGCCGUAGGGAAACCGAGUCUUAACCGGGCGUUAAGUUGCAGGGUAUAGACCCGAAACCCGGUGAUCUAGCCAUGGGCAGGUUGAAGGUUGGGUAACACUAACUGGAGGACCGAACCGACUAAUGUUGAAAAAUUAGCGGAUGACCUGUGGCUGGGGGUGAAAGGCCAAUCAAACCGGGAGAUAGCUGGUUCUCCCCGAAAGCUAUUUAGGUAGCGCCUCGUGAAUUCAUCUCCGGGGGUAGAGCACUGUUUCGGCUAGGGGGCCAUCCCGGCUUACCAACCCGAUGCAAACUGCGAAUACCGGAGAAUGUUAUCACGGGAGACACACGGCGGGUGCUAACGUCCGUCGUGAAGAGGGAAACAACCCAGACCGCCAGCUAAGGUCCCAAAGUCAUGGUUAAGUGGGAAACGAUGUGGGAAGGCCCAGACAGCCAGGAUGUUGGCUUAGAAGCAGCCAUCAUUUAAAGAAAGCGUAAUAGCUCACUGGUCGAGUCGGCCUGCGCGGAAGAUGUAACGGGGCUAAACCAUGCACCGAAGCUGCGGCAGCGAACGUAUCACUUAAAGCGAUUCAGCGGGUUACGAUUGACGGAGCGAAGCGACGUCAAAGCGUAUACAAAGUCGAGUCGGUUUAAGGAUACGUUCGUUGGGUAGGGGAGCGUUCUGUAAGCCUGUGAAGGUGGCCUGUGAGGGUUGCUGGAGGUAUCAGAAGUGCGAAUGCUGACAUAAGUAACGAUAAAGCGGGUGAAAAGCCCGCUCGCCGGAAGACCAAGGGUUCCUGUCCAACGUUAAUCGGGGCAGGGUGAGUCGACCCCUAAGGCGAGGCCGAAAGGCGUAGUCGAUGGGAAACGGGUUAAUAUUCCCGUACUUGGUGUUACUGCGAAGGGGGGACGGAGAAGGCUAUGUUGGCCGGGCGACGGUUGUCCCGGUUUAAGCGUGUAGGUGUGUGUUCCAGGUAAAUCCGGUUCACUUUAACACUGAGGCGUGAUGACGAGGCACUACGGUGCUGAAGCAACAAAUGCCCUGCUUCCAGGAAAAGCCUCUAAGCAUCAGGUAACAUCAAAUCGUACCCCAAACCGACACAGGUGGUCAGGUAGAGAAUACCAAGGCGCUUGAGAGAACUCGGGUGAAGGAACUAGGCAAAAUGGUGCCGUAACUUCGGGAGAAGGCACGCUGACACGUAGGUGAAGUGAUUUACUCACGGAGCUGAAGUCAGUCGAAGAUACCAGCUGGCUGCAACUGUUUAUUAAAAACACAGCACUGUGCAAACACGAAAGUGGACGUAUACGGUGUGACGCCUGCCCGGUGCCGGAAGGUUAAUUGAUGGGGUCAGCGCAAGCGAAGCUCCUGAUCGAAGCCCCGGUAAACGGCGGCCGUAACUAUAACGGUCCUAAGGUAGCGAAAUUCCUUGUCGGGUAAGUUCCGACCUGCACGAAUGGCGUAAUGAUGGCCAGGCUGUCUCCACCCGAGACUCAGUGAAAUUGAACUCGCUGUGAAGAUGCAGUGUACCCGCGGCAAGACGGAAAGACCCCGUGAACCUUUACUAUAGCUUGACACUGAACAUUGAGCCUUGAUGUGUAGGAUAGGUGGGAGGCUUUGAAGCGUGGACGCCAGUCUGCGUGGAGCCAACCUUGAAAUACCACCCUUUAAUGUUUGAUGUUCUAACGUGGACCCGUGAUCCGGGUUGCGGACAGUGUCUGGUGGGUAGUUUGACUGGGGCGGUCUCCUCCUAAAGAGUAACGGAGGAGCACGAAGGUUGGCUAAUCCUGGUCGGACAUCAGGAGGUUAGUGCAAUGGCAUAAGCCAGCUUGACUGCGAGCGUGACGGCGCGAGCAGGUGCGAAAGCAGGUCAUAGUGAUCCGGUGGUUCUGAAUGGAAGGGCCAUCGCUCAACGGAUAAAAGGUACUCCGGGGAUAACAGGCUGAUACCGCCCAAGAGUUCAUAUCGACGGCGGUGUUUGGCACCUCGAUGUCGGCUCAUCACAUCCUGGGGCUGAAGUAGGUCCCAAGGGUAUGGCUGUUCGCCAUUUAAAGUGGUACGCGAGCUGGGUUUAGAACGUCGUGAGACAGUUCGGUCCCUAUCUGCCGUGGGCGCUGGAGAACUGAGGGGGGCUGCUCCUAGUACGAGAGGACCGGAGUGGACGCAUCACUGGUGUUCGGGUUGUCAUGCCAAUGGCACUGCCCGGUAGCUAAAUGCGGAAGAGAUAAGUGCUGAAAGCAUCUAAGCACGAAACUUGCCCCGAGAUGAGUUCUCCCUGAGACUUAGAGUCUCCUGAAGGAACGUUGAAGACGACGACGUUGAUAGGCCGGGUGUGUAAGCGCAGCGAUGCGUUGAGCUAACCGGUACUAAUGAACCGUGAGGCUUAACCUU
rnacentral:rRNA from 1 species